GCCUGUAGUCCACCUGGGAGCGGGCCCGGCGGGCCCGACGCAAGCGUGUAGGGAGUGAAUGAGCCCCGGAGCUCUCUUGAGCACGUAGGAGAGUCUUUUCGGGAUCCAGGCGCAACCUUACAGAUAGGCGUUGUUAAGCUCCCCAUUACUGGCAGUGGUGCCAGGAGCUUUACGGGAUGGAAAUAUGCGAGUCAAUCAGUGUGAAUGGUGUUGCUACUGUUUUCUCUGAGGAAGGAUCAAAGGAACAGUGAAUGAAAUAACUUGGCUAGAAUAUGGUAGUAACUUCAAAGCACAUGAGUGACAUAAAGGUUUUCUGCUCUGGAUGAUCUAUCUCUAAAGUGUCUUCCAACUCUAAACCCAUCGUCCCUGUCUACAGGCAUGUCUUCUAUUGCAGUUGCCACUGUGGUGAAAUUUUCCACGGAUGGACGAUUUCCUGGGAGACUUCUGUGAAGGGCAGUCCCCUUCUGGGGCGCUUGUGUUUCUCACCUCACAUGGAUCUGAAGAACCUACAUUUUUCACCAUGUCCAUACCUUCUUCAAGGAUUUUCACUCUAGAUCUACUUCUUCCUUUUCUGGAAGCUUCUUUAUCUUCUCAGAACUUCUGCUGGGAAAUAAUCGUCGUUGAUUCACCUGUCCUCAACUUUCAUUUCGUUUGCUUGUUUUUCCACAUGUCUCAGAGACCAUCGUUUACACCGGCAAAGUACUUUCCUCCAUUAAAGAAUGUCCACGCUGAGCGAAAUGGAGCAGACUGCAAACACCACACAGCGCAGUAGCCCCCUUAUCACACCUACUGGGAAUUGCUUGCACUCCCUGUCCUUGAAUUUUGGCCACUGUCGAUUGAAACUUUGUCUCUACCACAGCCAGAAUAUGUAACUUCCAAAAUGAAAGAUUUUGAUCAGAACCGGACCAGGCUCUCCUGCAUCAACGUCGACUUUGAUUCUGUAGUAUGUGACAUUGGUUAUGUCUUAAGCAUAUGCUGAAAUCUGAAGUACUUCUUGAAUUUUUGUACGGCAAGGCAACUGUUUUAUGGUGACAUGAUUCUCUCAGUCCACAGAUCUCUUUGUGGAAUCUGAAGGUCCAUGUUGUCUUCAGGCUCCUCAGAGCUAGAUUUAUUUUUUCUGUAUCUAUGAAUUUUUACAAGUCCUCACAAUAUUGGGACAAUUAUUCUACCAACACAGUGUGGGAUUAUUUAUUUGUUGAAAAAAACUAUUGAGCUUCUUGGAUGAAAGGUACUUCGAAAGAUGUAGUCAUUUGGAAGUUCAGUCUGGCUUCACUCACUCUCGGAAGAGCACCAUGGAUUGAUGGUCUUUGAAACAGCGCUUCAUGGAAACACCAGACACUCCACCAACCUGCCCCCAUCCAGGAGAUGUCUGUUUAAUUUCUUUUGUCUAAAGUACAGUGCUUGUACAUAAUAGGCACUUGAUAAGUAUAUGUUGACUUGAUUUAGAUCUAUGUUUAACUCUAUCAUAAGAUUUUUUAAAGAUAUCAAUUAAACCAUCUAUAAUAGA